GACGAACGCUGGCGGCGUGCUUAACACAUGCAAGUCGAACGGAAAGGCCCUGCUUUUGUGGGGUGCUCGAGUGGCGAACGGGUGAGUAACACGUGAGUAACCUGCCCUUGACUUUGGGAUAACUUCAGGAAACUGGGGCUAAUACCGGAUAGGAGCUCCUGCUGCAUGGUGGGGUUGGAAAGUUUCGGCGGUUGGGGAUGGACUCGCGGCUUAUCAGCUUGUUGGUGGGGUAGUGGCUUACCAAGGCUUUGACGGGUAGCCGGCCUGAGAGGGUGACCGGCCACAUUGGGACUGAGAUACGGCCCAGACUCCUACGGGAGGCAGCAGUGGGGAAUAUUGCACAAUGGGCGGAAGCCUGAUGCAGCAACGCCGCGUGCGGGAUGACGGCCUUCGGGUUGUAAACCGCUUUCGCCUGUGACGAAGCGUGAGUGGCGGUAAUGGGUAAAGAAGCACCGGCUAACUACGUG
rnacentral:rRNA from 1 species